CUUGCUUUUUGAAAUAAAAGGUAUUAUAUUACUAAAUUGUCAGGGCAACCUGACUGUGACACCAGAGGCUCCGUGAAAUAGGAUAUUUGGACCCGGGGGCAGUGCCCGGCACCUCCACCAAUUUUUAUAAACAGUGUCCAAGGGGGUGAAUUAGGUUUGACAGGUAUCAGUAAAGAUGGGUAUGCCGUGUCCGGUGAGAUACCACCGUUAUCGGUUCAAAAUAAAAUGAAUGCUAACGAUAAUAACGUAGCUCCUGUUGCUUUGGCUGCUUAAUUGGCAGUUUGCAACAAAAUCAAUUCUUAAGGACUUAGGUUUUCUUUAAGUGGGGUUCUUGGGGCUUUCCUACCAACAGAAAAGCUCC
rnacentral:tmRNA from 1 species